GGGCCAUUAGUUUAAUGGGAGAACACUGUGUUCGCAACACAGGAGAGGGAGUUCGAUUCUCUCAUGGUCCA
rnacentral:tRNA from 1 species